GACGAACGCUGGCGGCGUGCUUAACACAUGCCAGUCGAACGGAAAGGCCCUGCUUUUGUGGGGUGCUCGAGUGGCGAACGGGUGAGUAACACGUGAGUAACCUGCCCUUGACUUUGGGAUAACUUCAGGAAACUGGGGCUAAUACCGGAUAGGAGCUCCUGCUGCAUGGUGGGGGUUGGAAAGUUUCGGCGGUUGGGGAUGGACUCGCGGCCUAUCGGCUUGUUGGGGGGGUAGUGGAUUACCAAGGCAUUGACGGGUAGCCGGCCUGCGAGGGUAACCGGCCCAGCCAGACUGGGGAUGAGGCACGGACCAGAAUCGGACGCGAGGGAGCAGUAGGGAAGAUUGGGGAAGGGGGGAAGGUGUGGUCAAGCCGUGUCGGGUGAGUGAUGAAGCCGGUAGGGUUGUAAAGCUGUCUGAGACGGGACGAUAAUGACAGUACCGGGAGAAGAAGCUCCGGCUAACUACGUG
rnacentral:rRNA from 1 species